AAAUUGAAGAGUUUGAUCAUGGCUCAGAUUGAACGCUGGCGGCAGGCCUAACACAUGCAAGUCGAACGGUAACAGGAAGCAGCUUGCUGCUUCGCUGACGAGUGGCGGACGGGUGAGUAAUGUCUGGGAAACUGCCUGAUGGAGGGGGAUAACUACUGGAAACGGUAGCUAAUACCGCAUAAUGUCGCAAGACCAAAGAGGGGGACCUUCGGGCCUCUUGCCAUCGGAUGUGCCCAGAUGGGAUUAGCUUGUUGGUGGGGUAACGGCUCACCAAGGCGACGAUCCCUAGCUGGUCUGAGAGGAUGACCAGCCACACUGGAACUGAGACACGGUCCAGACUCCUACGGGAGGCAGCAGUGGGGAAUAUUGCACAAUGGGCGCAAGCCUGAUGCAGCCAUGCCGCGUGUAUGAAGAAGGCCUUCG
rnacentral:rRNA from 1 species